UUUCGAAUCAUCCACAAUGGGCGAAAGCCUGAUGGUGCGACGCCGCGUGAGGGAUGAAGGCCUUCGGGUCGUAAACCUCUGUCACCGGGGAGCAAAUGUAAGACUUAUACUCUUACUUGAGUUAACCCGGAGAGGAAGCAGUGGCAAACUCUGUGCCAGCAGCCGCGGUAAUACAGAGACUGCGAGCGUUACUCGGAUUCACUGGGCGUAAAGGGUGCGUAGGCGGCUAAAUGUGUCAGAUGUGAAAUCCCGGGGCUCAACUCCGGAACUGCGUCUGAAACUAUUUAGCUAGAGACUCGGCGAGGUAAGCGGAAUUCCAAGUGUAGCAGUGAAAUGCGUAGAUAUUUGGAGGAACACCGAAGGCGAAGGCAGCUUACUGGAAGAGAUCUGACGCUGAGGCACGAAAGCGUGGGGAGCAAAAGGGAUUAGAUACCCACGUAGUCCCUGAGCGGGCUGGCAAGGCGCAU
rnacentral:rRNA from 1 species